UAACUGCGGAUGGAUCACCUCCUUUAAGAGACAGGGUACUAGACCCCACACACGCCACUCGGUAGAGAGACUUGGGCCUAUAGCUCAGCUGGCUAGAGCACACGACUGAUAAUCGUGAGGUCAGUGGUUCGAGUCCACUUGGGCCCACCAAAUGGGGCUGUAGCUCAGCUGGGAGAGCACCUGCUUUGCAAGCAGGGGGUCACCGGUUCGAUCCCGGUCAGCUCCACCAGAUUGCUGGUGGGGAGAUCUAUCCCGAGAGGGGUAGGUAGGAGUAGGGAAGGGUAGAGGGAGAGAAGUAGGGUAGGUAGUGGAGAAGAGAUGGAUUGUCUCUUGUGCACUGCGUACCGGAAGGUGCGAAGUAUUGUUCUUUCACAACAGAAGAAGGGAAGGCCCGUUGCCAGGUUCUGGGACUUGGUAGCGAUUCUGCAAGGUAUUGCGGGAUAUAUGGUCAAGUGAAUAAGGGCAUACGGUGGAUGCCUUGGCGGAAACAGGCGAUGAAGGACGUGGAUACCUGCGAAAAGCCUCGGGGAGUUGGUAAACGAGCUGUGAUCCGAGGAUAUCCGAUGGCAC
rnacentral:misc_RNA from 1 species